CGCGCAUGCGCUGCAUUGCGUUGUUCGGCUACUGGGAAAGUGAGCAGGGCUGUUCCCAGAGCUGACUGGCUGGCGUGGGAAGCACCGCAGGGUUAAGCUCGCCUCUGGAUGUGGGCCGUCCGUACUGCACCUUUUCAGAAGCGCAGCCGCCCUGGAUCUACCCAGCCGCAGUGACUCCAUUCCGAGUGCAAAUGUGGAUUGCUGAAGACAGUUACUGGAAGCGCCAUUUGCAGGUAGAGAUUGCAGUCAUUAUUAAAUGAGCCAGAAGGUAGAAACUUUUUUAUUUUGUGGAGGGGACUUGACUGGGCAAUACUAGGAGGAGAUGAAAUGAUUAGGGAACAAUGAUAUAAGAAAACGAUCACUGCCCUUAUUUGGGUUAAACAGGUCAUGUCGAGAAGAUAGUUAUUUAAGAUAAGGGUGCUACUUAUGUGCAGCAUGAAUAUGUUACAAUCAAGCUGCACCCAACUAAGAAAAGAAAAAUUCCCCAAGUAACUUUUAAAAGUAUGUGUUAUUUGCCAGUCACAGAAGGGAAAAGCACCUAAGGGUGGACUCCAAUUUAAUGAGGACCUUGAUCAGGACCACAAAGCCUGAAACGUAUGUUUUAAUGCAGAAACACAGCCUCUAGUCACACUGGUUAAGUUUGGGAAAAUCAGAGGUUUUUUUUUUUGUUUUCCCUGUUUGUUUUUUAACUUUUUUAUUGAAUUAUAAGAUAUGGUUUCAAUCACUAAGGAUGCUAAAUCUUCAAACCAGCAUUGGAAUUGAACCACUUCCAAAUCCUAAGACACAUAAAACCAAAGAGAAGCAAUAGCCAUACAAAUUAUAUGUGCCCCUCUCCUUUCUGCUAUAAGGGAAUCUUCAAACCAGCAUCACAUUUAAGAGUCAAAGUGUUAAUUCUUCAGCAUUCCUGACAACUAGAAAGCACAUUCACUGAAGGCUGAAGGUGAGGGAGCAGAUGGUUUAACUUUAAUAUCUGUGGAGAAUGGCGCCAAUAGAGGAAAGAAAACCAUCCAAUUUCAGUAAGGAUUAAUGCAAACUUGGCUAGAAAAAGCCACCAGGUAAUCCAAGGGUUCACUGUGGAAGAACUCAUGAAAAGUACUCUGAAGUACACAACAGGUCUAAACAUCUCCCUUGUUGCAAGUAGUUGUGUGAAAUUCAAGAUAAAGUUUUAGUUUCAUCUUUUAAUGUCAGUAUUUUUUUCCCCACAUUAAAGGGAAUGAGGAGGAGUCCUCUUUUUCCCCCACAAAAAAAGGGAGCCACAUUUUAAUAUGUGUACAUUCCCAUGACUCUUUAUAAUAUUUAAGUGCGGAUCUCCAAAGCUUAAGGAUUUUCCAUAAGAGAGUGGGCCGUUCUGGUCACCCUUUUAUUAGAAGGGUAUUCCACCACAGAGAGCCAGAGGUUUUCCAGAUGUGUGUAAGAGAGCAGGUGCGCAAGGCAAGCAAAUGAGCGCAAACAGUAUUAUGGAAAACAUUUGAGAAGUUAGCUCCAUGAGGACUGUGGGCUCCACAAGAGGACUUGACUGGGUAGCCUGGUCUGACACAGGAACAUGAAAGCAGAGUAUUGCUUCAAAGCUGGAACCCUUCCAUAGGCGCCUCACACUGCUGGAAGAUGUACUGCUGCUGGCUAAGGUCAACCUGAGGUGCAAUGCUGCUGUCCUCAUCCUCGGUCCCGAAGUAAUGCUCAAUAAGAUCAAAGGCCUUCUGGUAGAUCUCCUGGUUUUCAUGACUCUGUAAGAAUUCAAUUUUAUCCAGACCUAGAAUGAAAAAUAAAAAAAAAAUCUGUUGUACAUCUGUGGAAAUUCUAAUAAAACUGUAUUUUUCCAUAUGUCUCUUUCCUGAUGUAAAGGAAGAUGCUAUUCUCUACUUACUCUCAUUAGCAUUUUGCAACAGCAUAGAAAAUACUGCUGGGAUUACAUCUAAAUAUUUGUAUUGAAAACUGACAUCUUAAACAUAUAUGUGCAAGCAAAAGCCAGUCCCAAGAAGCAGCAAUAUCUCUAAUAGUCAGACAUUAUCCAGUGCCUAGGGCCAAGAGCAUAGGUUUUCCUACUGGACUGUGUCUGUCUUAAUUUAUUCUUGGCUCUGAGCGACCUAGUAUUUCAACAAAUGUUUAAUAUACUUAAAUCAAUCAGCCAGAAUCAAUUUCUACUACUUAAAUUAAGAAGUUCAAUAGAAAAGUUACCCAACACACAUUCCCUUUAAGUUUAAGCUCAUUUGAGCUAGGCUUGCUUUCACCUACGGCCAUAAGCAACCUAAGUACUACAACGAUACCAGAAAAAAAUGUUAACACUGCUCAAAA